UACGAAGGGGGCUAGCGUUGCUCGGAAUCACUGGGCGUAAAGCGCACGUAGGCGGCUUCUUAAGUCAGGGGUGAAAUCCUGGAGCUCAACUCCAGAACUGCCUUUGAUACUGAGGAGCUUGAGUCCGGGAGAGGUGAGUGGAACUGCGAGUGUAGAGGUGAAAUUCGUAGAUAUUCGCAAGAACACCAGUGGCGAAGGCGGCUCACUGGCCCGGUACUGACGCUGAGGUGCGAAAGCGAUGGGGAGCAAACUAGGG
rnacentral:rRNA from 1 species